rnacentral:rRNA from 1 species
AACGAACGCUGGCGGCAGGCUUAACACAUGCAAGUCGAGCGCCCCGCAAGGGGAGCGGCAGACGGGUGAGUAACGCGUGGGGAUCUGCCUAGUGGUACGGAACAACACGGGGAAACUCGUGCUAAUACCGUAUAAGUCCUUCGGGAGAAAGAUUUAUCGCCAUUAGAUGAACCCGCGUCUGAUUAGCUAGUUGGUGAGGUAACGGCUCACCAAGGCGACGAUCAGUAGCUGGUCUGAGAGGAAGAUCAGCCACACUGGGACUGAGACACGGCCCAGACUCCUACGGGAGGCAGCCGUGGGGAAUAUUGGACAAUGGGCGCAAGCCUGAUCCAGCCAUGCCGCGUGAGUGAUGAAGGCCUUAGGGUUGUAAAGCUCUUUCGCUGGGGAAGAUAAUGACGGUACCCAGAGAAGAAGCCCCGGCUAACUUCGUGCCAGCAGCCGCGGUAA